rnacentral:rRNA from 1 species
AACGAACGCUGGCGGCAUGCCUAACACAUGCAAGUCGAACGAGACCUUCGGGUCUAGUGGCGCACGGGUACGUAACGCGUGGGAACCUGCCCUUAGGUUAGGAAUAACUCCCCGAAAGGGGUGUUAAUGCCGCAUAAUGUCUUCGGACAAAAGAUUUAUCGCUUUUGGAUGGGCCCGCGUAAGCUUCGCUGGUUGGUAGGGUAUUAGCCUACCAUGGCGACGAUGCAUGGCUGGUGGGAUAGGAUGACCCACAAGGCUUGGACUGCGACACGGACCAGAGUCCUACGCGAGGCAGCAGUAGAGAGUAUUAUACGAGGGGCGCAAGCCUGAUCCAGCAGUGCCGGGUGUGUGAUGAAGCGCUUAGGGUUGUAAAGCUGUCUUACCCGGGAUGAGAAUGACAGUACCGGGAGAAUAAGCACCGGCUAACUACGUG